GACGAACGCUGGCGGCGUGCCUAAUACAUGCAAGUCGAGCGAACUUGCGGGAGCUUGCUCCCAAAAGUUAGCGGCGGACGGGUGAGUAACACGUGGGCAACCUGCCUAUAAGACUGGGAUAACUUCGGGAAACCGGAGCUAAUACCGGAUAAUUCUUUUCUACUCAUGUAGGAAAGCUGAAAGAUGGUUUCGGCUAUCACUUAUAGAUGGGCCCGCGGCGCAUUAGCUAGUUGGUGAGGUAACGGCUCACCAAGGCGACGAUGCGUAGCCGACCUGAGAGGGUGAUCGGCCACACUGGGACUGAGACACGGCCCAGACUCCUACGGGAGGCAGCAGUAGGGAAUCUUCCGCAAUGGACGAAAGUCUGACGGAGCAACGCCGCGUGAGUGAUGAAGGUUUUCGGAUCGUAAAACUCUGUUGUUAGGGAAGAACAAGUACUAGAGUAACUGCUAGUACCUUGACGGUACCUAACCAGAAAGCCACGGCUAACUACGUGCCAGCCGCCGGGUAACAC
rnacentral:rRNA from 1 species